GGCUAUGUCAAGUUGAAACUUUGAUUCCCAUAUGAUCACCAAAGUUAAGCAAUGUCAAGCCAGGUCAGUACCUAAAUGGACGACUGCUUGGGAGUACCAGGUGCUGUAAG